rnacentral:rRNA from 1 species
GAUGAACGCUGGCGGCGUGCCUAAUACAUGCAAGUCGAGCGAACGGACGAGAAGCUUGCGUCUCUGAUGUUAGCGGCGGACGGGUGAGUAACACGUGGAUAACCUACCUAUAAGACUGGGAUAACUUCGGGAAACCGGAGCUAAUACCGGAUAAUAUUUUGAACCGCAUGGGUCAAAAGUGAAAGACGGUCUUGCUGUCACUUAUAGAUGGAUCCGCGCUGCAUUAGCUAGUUGGUAAGGUAACGGCUUACCAAGGCAACGAUGCAUAGCCGACCUGAGAGGGUGAUCGGCCACACUGGAACCGAGACACGGUCCAGACUCCUACGGGAGGCAGCAGUAGGGAAUCUUCCGCAAUGGGCGAAAGCCUGACGGAGCAACGCCGCGUGAGUGAUGAAGGUCUUCGGAUCGUAAAACUCUGUUAUUAGGGAAGAACAUAUGUGUAAGUAACUGUGCACAUCUUGACGGUACCUAAUCAGAAAGCCACGGCUAACUACGUG